UUUUCCCUUCCAUUCUUCGCAGUCAGAACAUUAGAAAGUAUGACCCAUGUUAACAUUCUUAUGCAUCACAUUCCUCCUUUGUCUUCUGUGGGAAAAGUUUCAGCUUGGUUUCUUGAUGUCACUGGAGUUGUUUACUGCCCCUUUUUUUUUCUGUAUUUCCUACGUUAUUCAGGUUAUACUAAUCACCAGAGGGGAAGGAAACAACUCCAGAGCAGAUUGAAUUGACGUUUAAUUGGACAUCCUGUGAAAUAAACAUUGUGACUUGGAUAAGAUUAAAAUGUGAGUCACAAGUCUGGUGAGUUUUCAACUGUCAGGGAACGCAGUGAAGGAAUGAGGGAAGAACAGCAAGGAGAGAGCAGCUAGAAGCAAUGCUCAGUAGAGCAGCAGCUGCUGGACUUGCAUGCUUGUUUUCAUGAGGCUUAUAUUAAAAGUAGAGUGAACAAAACUAGAGAAAACAACCGACAGUUCUUUAUUUAAGAAUUAUUACAUUUUCAAACAGAUUUUAUUUUCUGUUUUUUUGCCUGUACUGAACCUGUCUGUGAAUGCCCUCUAGCAGUAAACCACUGUCCAGCUCAGCUAAAUUCUUGGAUAUUAAAGCUUUGAUUUAAGAAAGGACAAGGUGCAGUGAUGACAGGCAGGACCAUCAUGUCAGAGCCCAGCAAUAGAAGCAUCUUCUCAAGAUCAGUUCAACUCAGCUCUGGACUGGUGCCUGACAGUUCCAGAUCAAAGGGGUCAAGAUAUCUGACCUAUUUACAGAAAAGGAGCAGAUUGAGAGCUUGCCUGUACCGGUGCAGAAGGAUGCCAACCUCAGCAGAGUUUACUUUUUUCUGA
rnacentral:lncRNA from 1 species